AUUUUCUUAAUUAUCUCCCCUUUGGUGGAAGCUUGGUCUUUCGUUUGAAACACAUCAAAGGCAAUAUCAUUACAGAUGCCUUAUCAAGUGUUUCAUAAGUAUGUUUUGUUAUUUUGUUGUUGCUUUGAUUGAUGUAUAUCUGUAUAUGUGUAUUAGAGAAUUUAAGUUUUCAUUGUCAUUCAAACCUUUUUGAAGGGGAGGUGUUGUGUACUACUCGCACUCAAUUGACACCUGCGACCUAGAGGGUUCUAGAUCUCAUGUUUACUUCUUUGGUAGAAAUAUGACGUAAUAUUUGCAUUAUUGUUUGUCAAGAUUGUACUAGAAAAUUCAUUCUUAUUAUAAAUACACUCUGAAUUUUUUGAUACUCGUAGACAAGCACUUUUAAUAGGCAUUUGGAUUAUAAUUGGGAAUUGGGAUUUUUGAAUUAACUAUUUUGUGUGUGUAGACUCAGUUCGGCAUGGAUUUUAAUAUUUAUUGUUCAACUAUCUUUUCAGCCCCAAAAUGAAGGGUUCUUAGGAUGAGGGGUCAUGGAAGUUACAAUUUCCAGUCUCCUUCGCCUAUAAAUGCUACACACCAAAUUUGCUCAAGAUUGGACCAGUAGUUUCUGGGAAGAAGUUGUUAACGGACGUUGCACGACGCAUGACGCCGGACGCAGACCAAUUGCAAUAGGUCACCCGAGUUUACUCAGGUGAUCUAAAAAAAUUGAUAAACUAUUGAUAGUGAAUACGUUUAUAUUUUCAACAGAUAAUCAAAUAUUUAUAAUGAAAAAAAAAAUGUUGACAAGGGCAAUAAUUCCUAUGCUGGUAUUUCCUCUAUUGUAUGUCAAUUAUACAAUGAUUUCCCUAAAAUCUACAAUCAAUCUAUACAUGUCUAUACAUUAUGAGUUUUUGUAAGCUGUUGAUAUUAAAACAAAUGUCAAUUUAGCAAUUUUUAUUUAUCUAUUUUUAUUAUUCUGUUUCACGAAAAUGUAUGAUUUUCUGAUGUUGAUCUAUAGCUUUGGUUUUAUAUGUCUGACAUCUUAAAAAGGUGGCAACAUACAUAUUCUAUUUAGUUAUUGAUCAAAUUAAACUAUAUUGAGUGGAAAUUAGUACAGUUUUUCCACUUUCAAUCAUUAAAUUCUCGUAGAACUACUUGUAUGAUCUAAGGUUCCUAGCAUUGUCAUGUCUUUAUAAAUCAUCACCGAGAGAUGCUGUGAGGUGAUGCAGUAAAUAUAUAUCCAGAUCGUCUAAUUGUUUUUGUUUUAUUUGGGGGAUGGUGUUAUAUUUUUUUCGAUUUAUCUCUCGUUGAAAAAAGAAGAAAUUUUUAGAAAAAAAUAUUGCGAAUUCAAUGGUCGUUAUAACUAUCAGAUCUGCAAACGCAGCCUGUCGUUAGGUCGAUUGUUGUCUGACGUGUUUCAUAUUGUUUCAUUGUUACGCGAUUCUUUUAAUGCUGAUUUUGACUACGAUUAUUAUCUUAACCUAAUCAAUUAACCUGUACGUUUCAUUAUAUAAAACUACUUAAAAAACGAUAUUGCGUGAACAACAUGUAUAUUUUCUGUAAAAGGAAUAAAGUUCUUGACAAAUCAUGGGAAUAUUUCUCAAUCCAUAAUUAUUUAAAUGUAAGGUAAACAUAUUUGCAUAGAGUGAAUCUAAAGUCCUUGCAGAAUAGUUCAUUCACAUGCGCAUACCUUAACACAAAAUUCCAUAAACAAGCACAUGUAGCAACACUUGCUUUUCAACAUUUUUCAUUUCAUCGUCAGACACUUCACGCAUAAGCCUUUGAAAUGAAAAAUAUUUACAACGUAUAGUGUAUAUAGAUAAAAAUUCAGUUCUGUAUUAAUUCACAUAAAAUAGGGUACUGAAACUCUGAAUAAAACAUGCAGAACUAGGUUGUGUGCAUAGUUACAUGUAAGUUACGUGCAAGUCGCGAUUAUAUAAUGUAGGCAUAGAUCAACUGAGCUGGGAGCAUAAAUUCAUACACGUAUUACCGCUUUAUAGUAAUUGUCUUUCAUCAUUUGUUAGUAUCAUUCCAUGAGCUCUGUGAAUGCUUGAUUAAUUCAUACAAAAUCUGGAUACGAUAGAGAUGAAAAAGAAAAUGUGUAUCUUUUACUCAUACAUAUCAAUUGCUGUGCGACAGUUUGCUUCCUUCACUGUGUACAUUUAAUACUAAAUAAAGCUAAGCGUGUGGAUUCUGGCAUUUACCGGUACAUGAAUGUGACAUUACUUUAGCAACAUUGAAAAGGUGUAGUACUGUUGUUGUUUUUACCAGCAGUUCUGAUUGUGAAGCUAUCACAGAUGUAUAAAAUAGAGAAAUGGAUACUAGAUCAUAUAUGUUUAUGCAGAAACAUGAUUUUCUGUUGGUCCGCUAUCUGAUAGACUGGGCUUUGUAUAUAUUCCCGCUAGGUAAAUAAUUGCAAUCUGAUAUUUCACUGAGGGUGUCAGAUAGAUGACAAAGGUAAUAUGAGGGGUUGACCGUUUUGACACUAUGUAAUAGAAGUGAGGGGUUGACCGUUUUGACACUAUGUAAUAGAAGUUGUGAUCCACAACUAAAUUUUGAUUAUUUCCCAGGUUCUUUAAAAUUUGAAUUAUAUUGGUCUUAUUUACGAGUACGCUGAUAUCUCCCGUAUUUCACCCUUUGAGUCAGCCGUAAUAAUAGCACAGUUCAACAGACAAAGACGUUUAUUAACAACACACAUAAAGAUAGUUAAAAGGUUCAACAAUGAUACAAAAGUGGUAAGGAAAAAUCGUGUCUAUAACUAUAAAGUAUAUAUAACGAGCUAUAACUGUGUUGGGAUGCCAACACAAAUGUCUCCGAACACCUCCCCAUGUCAGAAAUGGUUUUUGAUGCCAGAUAUGCACCCAGGAUCCUCAAAAAACCCUAGAAACUAAAUUUGGUUGAAAUCCGACGGACUUGAUAUUUGGCUGCCAUUUUCUUCAAUGGCGGCCAUUUUGAAACAUUCCAAAAUUGAUUGGAAGGAAAUACUGAUGCUAGAAAUGAAUUGUGGACCCUCAAUUUACCCCAAAACCCAAAUGUUGUAGAGAUUUUAACACUUUCAAAUAUUUCGGUAUAUGGCGGCCAUUUUGAAAAUGGCAGCUCCAAAAAAAAUUUUGAUGCUGGAAAUGGACUUGGGGUCACUAAGUUACCCUAGAAAUGGAAUUUGGUUGAAAUCCGACAACCUUGAGUUUUUGACGUUUUUUGGCCGCCAUCUUGAAACGGCGGCCAUUUUGAAAAUUUGAAAAGUUGAAUGCACCCCUCCUAGUGACCCCCUAUCAGCUCACAAAGUUUGAAGUGGAUCUGUCAAAGCACUUUCACAAAAUCGGUCGGACAAAUUUCUCACUAAA